UACAGAGGGUGCAAACGUUGUUCGGAAUUACUGGGCGUAAAGCGCGUGUAGGCUGCUUGGAAAGUCGGGUGUGAAAGCCCUGAGCUCAACUCAGGAAGUGCACUCGAAACUUCCAAGCUCGAGUCCUGGAGAGGGUAGCGGAAUUCUCGGUGUAGAGGUGAAAUUCGUAGAUAUCGAGAGGAACACCGGUGGCGAAGGCGGCUACCUGGACAGUGACUGACGCUGAGACGCGAAAGCGUGGGGAGCAAACAGG
rnacentral:rRNA from 1 species